AGUUCCUUAACUUUAGGACUCAAAGCGGUAUUUACACUUGUACGUUCUUUCUCCCUCAUCGAACAGAGAAAAAGCUUUACGGCACAAUAAAAACCCUAGCUCAAGAGUGGAGUUCGUCCCUUCGGGGACAUCCGAUAAAAUUGGAACGAUACAGAGAAGAUUAGCAUGGCCCCUGCGCAAGGAUGACACGCACAAAUCGAGAAAUGGUCCAAAUUUUUUUGGCUCCUUCGCCGAUACUUCGAUGCCGCCAAAAAUGUUUUGCCGGUCGGCGGCGGCGAUGCUCUUCACGAAAUUUCUUGAGGCUUUGGAGGUUGUCCAUAUGCUCAGGUGAACCUGGAUAUAUGUGACUACUGAGGAUGUUGCUUCCAUGCUCAAUGGACUACAUUGGCUGCAGGAGACUUUAUCUGCAACCGAUCUGGGACGGCUUCUGGUUCUGUGGUUGCCAUUUUCUUGAGGUCUGAGCCACUGGUACUGCCUAAAACUUCUUGUAUCUCUGAUGCCUUUGGCAUGUCUAUAUUGCAUUUUUGACAUGAAAGUCACUUUGGACCAACUCCACUGUACCAUCAUCGUCUUGUGCUGUAAAACAUACCGACUCUGGCAUGCAUGUCCAGGUGAGGACUGUGCGAACCCUCGUGUCGCAUGCAAAGUAAGGGGAGGACUUAGAAGAACGAUUAUACGUACCUUUGUGGAAGAUAGAAUUAUAAUCGUGCAUGGGUUGGUAAUUUGCAAGACAAUAACAGUAUGAAAAGGUGAAGGAACUACUAUAUCUUUAUGGAGCAAACUCAAUUUAAUGUUACUGUCUGAUGUUUUUUGAAAUAAACUUCUUAAAUGAACUGCUAUUGAGUCGAUGAACCCGUAGGUGAUUUUCGAAUUAGGUAGAAUGAUUACUUAAUAGUCUGUAAGAUGGUACAAACUAGUGGUAUUCAUCAUAAUUGUUGAAUACAAGCCAUAGCUUUAUCCACUGCAACAUGUUGUAGGACCUCAGGAUAAUACGUUGCAGCAUGUCAGCUCUUGGGGUUAAUUUCACGAGGCAUUUACAUGUUCUUCAAACUUGCCUAAGAACUGUACAAAACAUUUGUUUCCUGCUGAGGAAGUAUACGAUUGUGGGUAGUUGUAGAUACAAAGAGUCCUAGUUUAUGGCUCUGCUCUUCUGAAUGUUUACAGCUCAUUUAUUG